GAUGAACGCUGACAGCAUGCUUAACACAUCAGCAAUUGAUUGGUGGCGGACGGGUGAGUAACGCGUAAAGAACUUGCCUCACAGCUAGGGACAACAUUUGGAAACGAAUGCUAAUACCUAAUACUGUGAGGGGGCUUUUCGUCCCAUUAGCUAGUUGGAGAGGUAACGGCUCACCAAGGCGAUGAUGGGUAGCCGGCCUGAGAGGGUGAUCGGGCACAAGGGGACGGGGAAACCGCCCUUACGCCUACUGGAGGCAGAAGUGGGGAAUAUUGGACAAUGGACCAAAGUCUGAUGCAGGAAUUCUGGGUGAAAGAUUAAGUUUUAGGAAUGUAAAGUGCUUUCAGUUGGGAAGCGGUACCAACAGAAGAAGUGACGGCUAAAUACGUGCCAGCAGCCGCGGUAAUAC
rnacentral:rRNA from 1 species